UCCGUAGGCGGGCGAUUAAGACAGAGGUGAAAUCCCACAGCUCAACUGUGGAACUGCCUUUGAUACUGGUUGUCUUGAGUUACAGUGAAGUAGAUAGAAUAUGUAGUGUAGCGGUGAAAUGCAUAGAUAUUACAUAGAAUACCGAUUGCGAAGGCAGUCUACUAACUGUUAACUGACGCUAAGGGACGAAAGCGUGGGGAGCGAACAGGAUUAGAUACCCUGGUAGUCC
rnacentral:rRNA from 1 species